AGUCGGGCGGCAGCGGGGUGGGAGCUUGCUCCCACUGCCGGCGAGCGGCGCUCGGGUGAGUAACACGUAUGCAACCUGCCCCUGUCAGGGGGACAACCCGCCGAAAGGCGGGCUAAGCCCGCGUAUAUCGCCCCGGGGCAUCCCGGGGGGAGGAAAGGAGCGAUCCGGACAGGGAUGGGCAUGCGGCGCAUUAGCUGGUCGGCGGGGUAACGGCCCACCGAGGCGACGAUGCGUAGGGGUUCUGAGAGGAAGGCCCCCCACACUGGUACUGAGACACGGACCAGACUCCUACGGGAGGCAGCAGUGAGGAAUAUUGGUCAAUGGGCGGGAGCCUGAACCAGCCAAGCCGCGUGAGGGAAGAAGGUACAGCGUAUCGUAAACCUCUUUUGUCAGGGAACAAAGGCGGGGACUAGUCCCCGGAUGAGGGUACCUGAAGAAAAGGCAUCGGCUAACUCCGUGCCAGCAGCCGCGGUAAUACGGAGGAUGCGAGCGUUAUCCGGAUUUAUUGGGUUUAAAGGGUGCGUAGGCGGACUGUCAAGUCAGCGGUAAAAUACGGGGGCUCAACCUCCGCCCGCCGUUGAAACUGACGGUCUCGAGUGGGCGAGAAGUAUGCGGAAUGCGUGGUGUAGCGGUGAAAUGCAUAGAUAUCACGCAGAACUCCGAUUGCGAAGGCAGCAUACCGGCGCCCAACUGACGCUGAAGCACGAAAGCGUGGGUAUCGAACAGGAUUAGAUACCCUGGUAGUCCACGCAGUAAACGAUGAAUACUAGCUGUCCGGG
rnacentral:rRNA from 1 species